rnacentral:tRNA from 1 species
CGGGGCGUGGCGCAGCGGUAGCGCGCCUGGUUUGGGACCAGGAGGUCGCCGGUUCAAUCCCGGCCGCCCCGACCA